AGGUAUGUGCUUUUCAAGUUUCUAUUCUGCAGAGGCUACUGUGUAUGUGAGCCUGGUGGCCUGACCAUCAUUAUAAGCCUUAGAGUGUGUCUUCUACUGGUGAGGAAAAGAGUCGCUCCAGGCAAGAAGACCCAGAGCCAUCAACACUGAAACAAAAGGCAAAGGAGAGGAUGAAAAUGCAGUUGGAGACAGUUCUG